UACGGAGGGUGCAAGCGUUAUCCGGAUUCACUGGGUUUAAAGGGAGCGUAGGCGGAACGAUAAGUCAGUGGUGAAAGCCCCGAGCUCAACUUGGGAAUUGCCAUUGAUACUGUUGUUCUUGAGUUCAGUUGAGGUAGGCGGAAUGUUACAUGUAGCGGUGAAAUGCUUAGAUAUGUAACAGAACACCGAUUGCGAAGGCAGCUUACCAAGCCGACACUGACGCUGAGGCUCGAAAGCGUGGGGAUCAAACAGG
rnacentral:rRNA from 1 species